CGCUCCGGACCGUCCGUCUCUCUCUCUCUCUCUUUGCAUGCGCUCUCUCUCUCUCUCCGUCUCCUCUAGCUCGACGGCUAGAGCGGGCGGUAAGGGUGGGGGCUACGCUAGAGCGGCGGUUUGGGAUCGUCGCUAGGGCGCGGGGUCGUCGUCGUCGUGGUGGGGCGGCCUCGGGGCCCGCGGCGCCGCAACUGCGGACGGACGAGGGCGCGCGCCGGCUGAUCGACUUCGAGUCGCGACGAAGCAUCGCGUCGAGGGCGGACGAGACGAGCCGAGCCUCCGCCCCGGCCGCUACCCCCGUCGCCUGUUCACCGACGACGGCGACCAGAGGCAGAGGAAGCAGAGCGAGUACGAGAAGGAGAGCCGCGAGAGCCCGAUGAGCCGGAGGAGGCGCGAGAAGCGCGCGGAGGGCGGCGGGAGGAUGCACGCGGCGCCCCGGCGGCGCGGGGGGAGGAAGCGGAUGGACGAGAGCCCGCCGGCGCCGCUACCGGCGUCCGAGGACGCGGACGAGGAGCGGCAGAUGGUGGGGGCCUUGGUCAUGGACGAGGUGGAGAGGCGCCUGCGCGGGCUCCGGCUCGCGGAGCUGGAGCGGCGGCGGCAGCGCGCCCGGCGGGGGCGUUAGUGUCGGAAGCCCUUGCAGCUGCAGCAGCCGGCGGGGCGGCGCCCGUGGGGGUACCCGAGGAGGCCGGAGCGGCGGUGCGAGGCGCGGCGGCGGCGGGACGAGGCCGAGCUGCGGCUCACCCUGACCAAGCAGUGCGAGUCGCGGCGGCUAAUGGGGGAGGAGUGGGUCCUGCUGGACUAAGUACAGAAGAGCAGACACGGUUCCGUGGAGUUGAAGUAGCUAGUGUGAUCACUAUAACCUACCUUUCUCAGAGUCUCUCACGUUGGUCAGUAUCAUCUACGACCCUAUAUGGACCGACCGUCCUUAGUCAAGAAGGUUAGGUGUCUCUUUGCCCGCUGAGGUCUACCAAAGUUUAAGAAGUGUCCAAGAGGAACCCAGUAAGAUUUGGCCGCCAAAUAUCUCAUGACGUAAAAGCCUACCCUCUUGGAGGGAGCUUGGGAAGAGUACAUGAAGUGGUUGCACUACGACGGAGACCUUCCAAUAAAGGUGAGCCAGCGCACGUUGAGCCUGAAGGCAUUGAAGUGCCACUUGUUACUGAACGCCAUGCACCGGACCCUGCUGGGCGGAGUCUACCUUGGGGCCAAAGAUUUGUAAUGUGUAAUACUCCUCUAUCACCUCUCGCCUCACGGGAAACGAUCCUUCAAGGCUCUCUUUCUCAUAGACAACCUGUCCUAACUACUCUUUUAUGAGGUCGCCACCGCAGUGUCUGGACAAGGACCUCGCACCACGUGUCCGUCCUUCUCUACCAAGUCACUAGGUACAAGGGUCACCUCGUUGCAGUUGUAGCAUUCUGGGCCCGGGGUUCGGCUCUUCAAGGCGUCUAUGUACCUGGCCUAGGACCUUCUUAGCUUCAGUUCGUUGUCGAGUACGCGCGUUAUCGUCGUGACUUGGCGCUCCGACGUACGUGAAAGGCCGUCAGCUCGCACAGAGUAAAACGUGUCUAGCUCGCCGAGAGGUGCACAAGUCUUGAGGCCGUAAAGGCGGAGGGCACCCUCGUAAAAACGACGUCGACCCAACACGCGUGUCCCGGUUCCACUCUCCCGCACGGAUAAGAAAGUCUCUAUAAAAACCAUCGACGGUACUGAACUUCCAGAGAAGAGUGACGACGCAACGUAGGGUCGUAACAACCUCCGGUCCCUCGAAACCCGACCCCCAACUAAUGGAGUCGAACAUCCCUCACAUUAAUCAUCGCUACUCAGCUUCCUGGAACACGCCUACAAAUAUCUUGGAACCACCUUAAGAACCACGAGGGUAUGCCUUAACUUAGCUCUCUUUCCGUUUUUUUGUACUUCCCACCCCUUAAAACAACCGGAACACCAAAACCUGACCAACGACAACACGAAUUGUCUUGCGAGUACCAAAAAAAAAAGAGGAGAACUUGACGUCUUACGUUGGUGUACACUG
rnacentral:rRNA from 1 species